rnacentral:rRNA from 1 species
UGAGUAACACGUAUCCAACCUGCCGUCUACUCUUGACAGCCUUCUGAAAGGAAGAUUAAUCCAGGAUGGCAUCAUGAGUUCACAUGUCCGCAUGAUUAAAGGUAUUUUCCGGUAGACGAUGGGGAUGCGUUCCAUUAGAUAGUAGGCGGGGUAACGGCCCACCUAGUCAACGAUGGAUAGGGGUUCUGAGAGGAAGGUCCCCCACAUUGGAACUGAGACACGGUCCAA